GACGAACGCUGGCGGCGUGCUUAACACAUGCAAGUCGAACGGAGAGGCCUCUUUCGGGGGGUACUCGAGUGGCGAACGGGUGAAUAACACGUGAGUAACCUGCCCUUGACUUUGGGAUAACUUCAGGAAACUGGGGCUAAUACCGGAUAGGAGCUCCUGCUGCAUGGUGGGGGUUGGAAAGUUUCGGCGGUUGGGGAUGGACUCGCGGCUUAUCAGCUUGUUGGUGGGGUAGUGGCUUACCAAGGCUUUGACGGGUAGCCGGCCUGAGAGGGUGACCGGCCACAUUGGGACUGAGAUACGGCCCAGACUCCUACGGGAGGCAGCAGUGGGGAAUAUUGCACAAUGGGUGGAAGCCUGAUGCAGCAACGCCGUGUGCGGGAUGACGGCCUUCGGGUUGUAAACCGCUUUCGCUCAUGACGAAGCUUUGUGUGACGGUAGUGGGUAAAGAAGCACCGGCUAACUACGUG
rnacentral:rRNA from 1 species